GGAUUACCUCAGUAACGGCGAGUGAAGCGGUAAUAGCUCAAAUUUGAAAUCUGGCUCUUCCAGAGUCCGAGUUGUAAUUUGUAGAAGAUGCUUUGGGCAUUGCUCCGGUCUAAGUUCCUUGGAACAGGACGUCAUAGAGGGUGAGAAUCCCGUAUGUGACUGGUGGCAUUUGUUCGUGUAAAGCUCUUUCGACGAGUCGAGUUGUUUGGGAAUGCAGCUCAAAAUGGGUGGUAUAUUUCAUCUAAAGCUAAAUAUUGGCCAGAGACCGAUAGCGCACAAGUAGAGUGAUCGAAAGAUGAAAAGCACUUUGGAAAGAGAGUUAAACAGUACGUGAAAUUGUUGAAAGGGAAGCGCUUGCAACCAGACUUGCAGGUCGUUGAUCAUCCGGGGUUCUCCCCGGUGCACUCGGCGGCUUUCAGGCCAGCAUCGGUGUGAGUGGUGGGAUAAAGGCCUUGGGAAUGUGGCUCCUCUCGGGGAGUGUUAUAGCCCAAGGUGCAAUGCCGCCUACUCGGACCGAGGACCGCGCUUCGGCUAGGAUGCUGGCGUAAUGGUUGUAAGCGACCCGUCUUGAAACACGGACCAAGGAGUCUAACAUCUAUGCGAGUGUUUGGGUGUCAAACCCAUACGCGUAAUUAACGUGAACGGAGGUAAGAACCCUUAAGGGUGCAUUAUCGACCGAUCCUGAUGUCUUCGGAUGGAUUUGAGUAAGAGCAUAGCUGUUGGGACCCGAAAGAUGGUGAACUAUGCCUGAAUAGGGUGAAGCCAGAGGAAACUCUGGUGGAGGCUCGCAGCGGUUCUGACGUGCAAAUCGAUCGUCAAAUUUGGGUAUAGGGGCGAAAG
rnacentral:rRNA from 1 species